GUCAAGCAUGUUUAUUUAUUCUUCUGCAAAUACAGCAGAUCUGUACCUACAAUUAUUUUUUAAGAGAAGAAACGUUAAGUCAUCUGAAGAAACAGGUGGGGCCUGGGCUUGAGCAAAAGGAGUGAGAGGGGAGAGCUGGCUGGGGUGAGUGUGGGCCAGUGGAGGGGCCUGGCCAGCCCUAGCAGGCCUUCUCCAGGAAGGCUUUGCAACACCAGGUGUACUGCUGGUACACCAGCUCGAAGUCAGACUCAUACCCAUAGGGUCUUCAAUGAUGAGCUGUUUCUGUGGAUCAUAGCUUCCAAGCAGUUCAAUUUUAGCUUUGCAGUUUUUAACUUGGUUGCUUUUUCUAUUCAAAUCUCUCACAUGGCUUUCAUCCAUACACAGUAUGUAGUCAAACAUUGCGAAGUCCUCCUUGGUGACCUGCCAGGCAACGUGACUCAUGGGGAUGCCAUGCUUCUUCAUGCAACUUUGCCCUUGAUAGUCAGGGGGGUUUCCCACUUCAUAUGUAGAUGUGGCUGCACUGUCUAUUCUCCAGUUAUCUGAAAUGUUUUGAUCAGUUACAAGUUUUCUGAAAACUGCUUCUGCAAUGGUUGACCGGUAAGUGUUACCCAGACAGUGAACAGCACGGACUUCAGCCCAGACUCAGCCAUGUUCCCGUGUGGUCACUGGGGCCCAGCGUUCCAGAUCUGUUAGAGAUGUUCUCUGGUUUCUUCCUUCCUUCCUUCCUUCC
rnacentral:lncRNA from 1 species